GACGAACGCUGGCGGCGUGCUUAACACAUGCAAGUCGAACGGAAAGGCCCUGCUUUUGUGGGGUGCUCGAGUGGCGAACGGGUGAGUAACACGUGAGUAACCUGCCCUUGACUUUGGGAUAACUUCAGGAAACUGGGGCUAAUACCGGAUAGGAGCUCCUGCUGCAUGGUGGGGGUUGGAAAGUUUCGGCGGUUGGGGAUGGACUCGCGGCUUAUCAGCUUGUUGGUGGGGUAGUGGCUUACCAAGGCUUUGACGGGUAGCCGGCCUGAGAGGGUGACCGGCCACAUUGGGACUGAGAUACGGCCCAGACUCCUACGGGGGGCAACAGGGGGGAAUAUUGCACAAUGGGCGGAAGCCUGAUGCAGCAACGCCGCGUGCGGGAUGACGGCCUUCGGGUUGUAAACCGCUUUCGCCUGUGACGAAGCGUGAGUGACGGUAAUGGGUAAAGAAGCACCGGCUAACUACGUG
rnacentral:rRNA from 1 species